AGCCCUGAGGUGUUUUACAUAUUAGAUUGCAAAUCUAAAGAAGCAGGCUAAUCAUCUGCCGGGGCUU
rnacentral:tRNA from 1 species